rfam:Salmo salar isolate Sally breed double haploid chromosome ssa26, whole genome shotgun sequence.
UUCCCUGUGGCUCAGUUGGUAGAGCAUGGUGUUUGCAACGCCAGGGUUGUGGGCUUGAUUCCCACGGGGGGAC